UCUUUCAUUGAUUGUGGAGAAACAGCAUUAUAAAUUUGUGUUAUUGAUUUUUAUAAAUUUGAUAUUCAGAAUACAUUGCAGGUAGUUUCUUUAUAAAUAAUUGUAAAUAAUAUCUCGCCAUUAGCUUGUUGACAUUGUCAUCAUUUCAACUACAGUGGAUUUACCUAUUUUCAUGGUUAUUAAUUAUCGUGGAUUGAGGAAAAUUUGCAUAUUCAUGGAUUUUUGAUUUCAUGUUUUUUCCAAUUUCUGCAUACAAAUUCUAAAGAAAAUUUGUAAUUUUUGAAAUUUGAAUUAGUGGUUCAUCUGUAUCUAUGAAGCCCACGAAAAUAAUGAUGAAUUCACAGUAUACAUUAUAUUUUGAACAGCAAGUAGCUAUCAAAUGUGUAAUUGUUAGAUCAUUUGCUAAUGUUUCUAAAUGGUUGACAAAAAGUUAUCAUUUUUCC
rnacentral:lncRNA from 1 species